rnacentral:rRNA from 1 species
AGCGAACGCUGGCGGCAGGCCUAACACACGCAAGUCGAGCGCCCAGCAAUGGGAGCGGCAGACGGGUGAGUAACGCGUGGGGAUCUGCCCAAUGGUACGGAAUAACCCAGGGAAACUUGGAUUAAUACUGUAUGUGCCCUUCGGGGGAAAGAUUUAUCGCCAUUGGAUGAACCCGCGUCGGAUUAGCUAGUUGGUGUGGUAAAGGCGCACCAAGGCGACGAUCCGUAGCUGGUCUGAGAGGAUGAUCAGCCACACUGGGACUGAGACACGGCCCAGACUCCUACGGGAGGCAGCAGUGGGGAAUAUUGGACAAUGGGCGCAAGCCUGAUCCAGCCAUGCCGCGUGUGUGAUGAAGGCCUUAGGGUUGUAAAGCACUUUCGCCGGUGAAGAUAAUGACGGUAACCGGAGAAGAAGCCCCGGCUAACUUCGUGCCAGCAGCCGCCGUAAAAC